AACGAACGCUGGCGGCAUGCCUAACACAUGCAAGUCGAACGACACCUCCGUGACUACUUGCGCACGCGUGCGUCACGUGUCGGAACGUGCCCUUAGGCUCCGAAUUCCACUCUGUCAUGGGGGCUAAUACCGGGUAACUUCCUCUGAUCAAAGAUUUAUCGUCCUUGUAUGGGCCCGCGUUGGUUUAGCUAGUUGGUAGGGUAAAAGCCUACCAAGGCGACGAUCCAUAGCUGGUCUGAGAGGAUGAUCAGCCACACUGGGACUGAGACACGGCCCAGACUCCUACGGGAGGCAGCAGUGGGGAAUAUUGGACAAUGGGCGAAAGCCUGAUCCAGCAAUGCCGCGUGAGUGAUGAAGGCCUUAGGGUUGUAAAGCUCUUUUACCCGGGAUGAUAAUGACAGUACCGGGAGAAUAAGCUCCGGCUAACUCCGUG
rnacentral:rRNA from 1 species